CGAAGACUGUUGUAUGACAGCGAGACAAGCUGAAUAGCUGGAGAUGAAGAGACGGGUUUAAUAUACUGCCUCGCCUGAAAUUAUUUUCCAAGUGUUUAUAUUUUCAUGGUUUCACGUGGCCCGAACACGUAGACAGACUGGGUCGAGUGCCCAAUGAGCACGACUCGUGCUCAGGGUUUUACUUUCAAUGAAAUUCAUGAUAGAGGACAAGGAGGAAAGAUUGCGAGGAAAGCAUUUGACUCUAUUGGCCUCGUCUCCCUCUUACAUGUAUGGAGCUGCAGCCGGUGUUGCUCAACUCCUCCCCUGCAAUGCAUUCAAAAGGGGGCAAGGAAUGGACCGAGCUGCUUAUAUUCAAUUGACCUCAGAUGAUACUUUAAAUCCCGCUGAGUUGCCGUAGUUUUGCCCCAAAUGCACAGGUGAAUUCAAGCAGUCUGAAUGUCCCGCAAAAUAUUAUUGCUUUUGUGAAAAGCA